GAUCCAGCGCUUGAUGGGCCUUGGACCCAGAUCCUCCGACGAAGCCUGCCACCCCGUGCGUGCAGCUUCAAUCCGUCGCUGCUUGCAGGCCAUGUCCCGGCCCAGUUCUUCCCCGGCGCAGAACCAGGACAGAUCGGCCCAUCACCCCUCUCUGCAUUUGCUUCUUCCCGGUUAUGAUCGCGAAGUGGUGUUGUGAGAUACGACAAGUUCUUCUGCAACUUUUCACAGGCGAGCCCACCCCUUCACCUAUUUUGCUUUUACAUGCUCUUUUGAUCUAUUGCUAUCCUUGUGUUGCGAUUCUGUUGUGUCACGUGUCCUAACCACCUGUACCUAUAUGUCCGAGAUACACCUCCUCGCCCUACCUAUUGUUUGUUGUUUGCCAGCUUUGCGAGUCGUAGGCGAGUUUAGGGUCUUGUUGAUAUCUCGAGAUGUUCGGGAUAUCUUGUUGGGAGGUUAUCACAUGCUAUAUCUUUUGUUGGAGAUAAUCACACUUGAUUUUAUUGUUAACAACUAAAAUUGUAAGCAGAGGCAUCUGUGAGCCCCUUUGCGAAAGCAUCGGAACUUUGACUUGCUAAUGUCCCCUAGGACCCGAGUUCUUGUUAUCUGUUCCGAGAUUGAGCGCUCUACCCGUACGUGGGGGAGUGGGACCCCCAUCACCCACUACCUUUCCUCGAGUCUGUUUAUUGGGAGCCACAACCUUGGUUUUAUUCGCUCAUAUGCACGAUGCACGAUUUACUUCCUGUUGCCUUCGGGUGUUUAUAUUUUGUACUGUACUCAUAUUGCGUGCCGAUUUAUCCUUGGCCGGUCGUUAGUGCCCGCCUUGGACGCCAUCGCAACCUCUGGGUCCGUAUCGGAGUACGGCCGGACUUCGUCACGGGUAGCUUAGUUGGGUGGCUCCCAUUAAAUUUUCUCUUGCAUUGGGAACGGUCUUGAUGUGAGACUCCACCUGUAGUAAGUGGGUUCGAGCAUGCGUAUGGUUACAUUUGGGCAACCCCUGCAGGGUGUACAUCUUAUCGAUAAGCCGUGUCCGCGGUUAUGGACGACUUGGAAUUGUAUAGCUUGAUCAUAGAACAACUUACACCUUAUAUCCUGUUGUUAAUAAUUUGCUAAUAAAACUCUUUCAAAAGUGUGUGUGCCUUUGCAAUACCUCUUGGCGAAGGGGGAUCGCAUUGGCUGGGUUAUGUUUGUCUAGUAUUUAUCUGUUACCUUGUGCGCUCUAUUAUCUUCUCUGAGUAGACAGAUGUUGUAGCGUGUCUCUAUUGGAUAGUAGCUUUGCUGCCGCUAAACUCCACAUAUAGCCGGGUGAAGUUUAUACCGCCCACCAGCGAGCAUAGCUGGUCUUGUCUCGCAAGUACGUGCCAAUGGUACUUACCCUCGCCUUCCUUUCUUUUUGUCUCCUCCCCCUUCUGUCGGCAACCGAUGGCCCGACUUUGACAGGUACGAGAUGAUGACGUUAGCAAGGUUACCCUUCCGGCUUGGCCUGGGCAGGGUUAUGGACGCCACUGGUUAUCUUCAGGACUCUUAGUCCAAUUUGUAUCUUGUCCGUACUCGGACGUAUUUGAUCUUCUGUAUGAUUUGGAUAUUUGUAUGUAUCUAUUUGUAUCUUGACUCGUUGGAGUCGUUGUUGAUAUAUAUGUAUCUUGUGGGCUCUAUUGUAA